rnacentral:rRNA from 1 species
UGAGGAAUAUUGGUCAAUGGACGAGAGUCUGAACCAGCCAAGUAGCGUGAAGGAUGACUGCCCUAUGGGUUGUAAACUUCUUUUAUAAGGGAAUAAAGUGAGGGACGUGUCCCUUUUUGUAUGUACCUUAUGAAUAAGGAUCGGCUAACUCCGUGCCAGCAGCCGCGGUAAUACGGAGGAUCCAAGCGUUAUCCGGAUUUAUUGGGUUUAAAGGGAGCGUAGGUUGACAUAUAAGUCAGCUGUGAAAGUUUACGGCUCAACCGUGAAAUUGCAGUUGAUACUGUAUGUCUUGAGUGUACAAGAGGUGGGCGGAAUUCGUGGUGUAGCGGUGAAAUGCUUAGAUAUCACGAAGAACUCCAAUUGCGAAGGCAGCUCACUGGGGUAC